AGCUCGAUCAUGGCUCAGAUUGAACGCUGGCGGGAUGCUUUACAUGCAAGUCGAACGCAGCACGGACUUCGGUCUGGUGGCGUGAGUGGGCGAAUCGGGUGAGUAAUGGGACUGGAACGUGCCUAUAUGGGGAUAACUACGCGAAAGCGUAGCUAAUACCGGGCACGGCACUCUUCGUGGCUUUUGGGACCUGGCCCGCACCAUUAGAGCGGCUGAUAUCGGAUUAGCUAGUUGGUGGGUAAACGGCUCACCGCGACGAUCCAGCUGGUUUGAGAGGACGACCAGCCACACUGGGACUGAGACAUUGGCCCAGACUACGAGGCAGGGGGAAUUUUGGACAAUGGGGAAACCCUGAUCCAGCCAUCUCCAAGCGUGUGCGAUAAGGCCUUCGUUGUAAAGCACUUUGCGAAGAAACGGCACGGGAUAAUACCCCGUGCAACUGACGGUACCUGCAGAAUAAGCACCGGCUAACUACGUGCCAGCAGCCGCGGUAAUACGUAGGGUGCAAGCGUUAAUCGGAAUUUACUGGGGCGUAAAAGUGCGCAGGCGGUUCGAAAGAAAGAUGUGAAAUCCCGCAGAGUCAACUUUGGAACUGCAUUUUUAACUACCGAGCUAGAGUGUGUCAGGAGGGAGGUGAAUUCCGCGUGUAGCAGUGAAAUGCGUAGAUAUGCGGAGGAACACCGGAUGGCGAAGGCAGCCUCCUGGGAUAACACUGACGCUCAUGCACGAAAGUGGGGAGCAACAGAUUAGAUAAUUCUGGUAGUCCACGCCCUAAACGAUGUCAACUAGCUGUUGGGGCCUUCGGGUCCGUGGCGCAGCUAACGCGUGAAGCUGACCGCCUGGGGAGUACGGUCGCAAGAUUUAAAACUCAAAGGAAUUGACGGGGACUCCGCACAAGCGGUGGAUGAUGUGGACGCAUCUGAUGCAACGCGAAAACCUUACCUACCCUUGACAUGUCUGGAAUCCCGAGAUUUGGGAGUGCUCGCAAGAGAACCGAACACAGGUGCUGCAUGGCUGUCGUCAGCUCGUCGUGAGAUGCUGGGUUAAGUCCCGCAACGAGCGCAACCCUUGUCAUUAGUUGCUACGAAAGGGCACUCUAAUGAGACUGCCGGUGACAAACCGGAGGAAGGUGGGGAUGACGUCAAGUCCUCAUGGCCCUUAUGGGUAGGGCUUCACACGUCAUACACCGUCGGGACAGAGGCCGCCAACCCGCGAGGGGGAGCCAAUCCCAGAAACCCGAUCGUAGUCCGGAUCGCGGCCCGCAACUCGACUGCGGAAGUCGGAAUCGCUAGUAAUCGCGGAUCAGCAUGUCGCGGUGAAUACGUUCCCGGGUCUUGUACACACCGCCCGUCACACCAUGGGGAGUGGGUUUUACCAGAAGUAGUUAGCCUAACCGUAAGGAGGGCGAUUACCACGGUAGGAUUCAGCAGACUGGGGUAGCAAUUCCAUUACCUGAUGCUCCUA
rnacentral:rRNA from 1 species